rnacentral:rRNA from 1 species
GACAGAGGGUGCAAACGUUGUUCGGAAUUACUGGGCGUAAAGCGCGUGUAGGCUGCUCCGCAAGUCGGAUGUGAAAGCCCUGGGCUCAACCUAGGAAGUGCACUCGAAACUUCGGAGCUGGAGUCCUGGAGAGGAAGGCGGAAUUCUCGGUGUAGAGGUGAAAUUCGUAGAUAUCGAGAGGAACACCGGUGGCGAAGGCGGCCUUCUGGACAGUGACUGACGCUGAGACGCGAAAGCGUGGGGAGCAAACAGG